AACGAACGCUGGCGGCAUGCCUAGCACAUGCAAGUCGAACGAGAUCUUCGGGUCUAGUGGCGCACGGGUGCGUAACGCGUGGGAAUCUGCCCUUUGGUUCGGAAUAACAGUUGGAAACGACUGCUAAUACCGGAUGAUGACGAAAGUCCAAAGAUUUAUCGCCAGAGGAUGAGCCCGCGUAGGAUUAGCUAGUUGGUGUGGUAAAGGCGCACCAAGGCGACGAUCCUUAGCUGGUCUGAGAGGAUGAUCAGCCACACUGGGACUGAGACACGGCCCAGACUCCUACGGGAGGCAGCAGUGGGGAAUAUUGGACAAUGAGCGAAAGCCUGAUCCAGCAAUGCCGCGUGAGUGAUGAAGGCCUUAGGGUUGUAAAGCUCUUUUACCCGGGAUGGUAAUGACAGUACCGGGAGAAUAAGCUCCGGCUAACUCCGUGCCAGCAGCCGCAGUAA
rnacentral:rRNA from 1 species